UAUAUGGAGAGUUUGAUCCUGGCUCAGGACGAACGCUGGCGGCGUGCCUAAUACAUGCAAGUCGAGCGGACGGAUGGGAGCUUGCUCCCUGAAGUCAGCGGCGGA
rnacentral:rRNA from 1 species